rnacentral:rRNA from 1 species
UACGUAGGGUGCGAGCGUUAAUCGGAAUUACUGGGCGUAAAGCGUGCGCAGGCGGUUAUGCAAGACAGAUGUGAAAUCCCCGGGCUUAACCUGGGAACCGCAUUUGUGACUGCAUAGCUGGAGUACGGCAGAGGGGGAUGGAAUUCCGCGUGUAGCAGUGAAAUGCGUAGAUAUGCGGAGGAGCACCGAUGGCGAAGGCAGUCCCCUGGGCCUGUACUGACGCUCAUGCACGAAAGCGUGGGGAGCAAACAGG